GGGGGGGGGGGGGGGGGGGGGGGGCGGAGGCAAGUCGGGCGGCAGCACAGUAAGAGCUUGCUCUUACGGGUGGCGAGUGGCGGACGGGUGAGGAAUACAUCGGAAUCUACUUUUUCGUGGGGGAUAACGUAGGGAAACUUACGCUAAUACCGCAUACGACCUACGGGUGAAAGCAGGGGAUCUUCGGACCUUGCGCGAUUGAAUGAGCCGAUGUCGGAUUAGCUAGUUGGCGGGGUAAAGGCCCACCAAGGCGACGAUCCGUAGCUGGUCUGAGAGGAUGAUCAGCCACACUGGAACUGAGACACGGUCCAGACUCCUACGGGAGGCAGCAGUGGGGAAUAUUGGACAAUGGGCGCAAGCCUGAUCCAGCCAUACCGCGUGGGUGAAGAAGGCCUUCGGGUUGUAAAGCCCUUUUGUUGGGAAAGAAAAGCAGCAGGUUAAUACCCCGCUGUUCUGACGGUACCCAAAGAAUAAGCACCGGCUAACUUCGUG
rnacentral:rRNA from 1 species